ACGUGUCUCACCUGUCUCACCUGUCUCACGUGUCUCACCUGUCCGCAGCUGCCCAAGGAGCAGGUGCUGAAGCUCUACCAGACGAUGACGCUGCUCAACACCAUGGACCGGAUCCUGUACGAGUCCCAGCGCCAGGGCCGCAUCUCGUUCUACAUGACCAACUACGGCGAGGAGGGGACGCACGUGGGCAGCGCCGCCGCCCUGGACGCCGCCGACCUCGUCUUCGGGCAGUACCGCGAGGCAGGUGUGCUGCUGUACCGGGGGUACCCCCUGGAGCUGUUCAUGGCUCUCUGGGAGGGGAC